UGGACCUUUGUGAACAAGUUUAGCAAGCUAUUGGUCAGCCUCAUGAGACUAAAGUGACCCUCAAAACAAACCUGACAGUUGACUUGCUUGUCGUGGUUGUUUUGCAUCACCAGAUUUUUAGAGCCACUACUCUGGGUUUUUCCCUUGGGGUUUUCUGCCCUCAUCUUUCUCCAUCCAUUGGAAUAAUAGAUGGAUUCAUUCCCAGAGAAUUCUUAGCUUCUAGAAUAUCUUUCCUUUCCUCAGCUCAUACUGCUGGAAGAGUCCUGCUGAAAUUCUCUAUAAUGUCCAAGCUCAGCUCAGACAGGCACAGGCCAUAAGGUUGGCCACCCAACAGAUGCCAUCAUGGCCCUGUUGCUUUGGAUCAUGGGCCACAACAGUGAGUCCCAAAGAUUCAACACACCUGACACAAGCAAAGUAGAUUCUGCUGAGAGGUUGCCAUCAACUGCAUUGGUUUGUUUUGGUUUGUUUUGUCUAUCAAAGCCAGAAGGAGAAGGAAGGUAUGUAGUGGAAACAUUUAAAUUGCUUUUAUUUUCAAAAUGGGUGAGAGGAAAUGUAUGUCUAGUUUCGUAUUGGGAUAUUUUCUAUUUCCAAGCAAAAGAAUUGAUCUUUUUGUUUUGUUGGCUGCUUAGUUGCAUAAUAGAUAUAUUUAUAUUGCUUUUCUGAUGGAUCGAGAGACUAAACUCUUUCCCCAAAGGAUGAGCACACAGAGGUUGACCUUUGUCUUCUUGAGCUGUCUCUUUUAAAGAAGUCAAGGCACCAUCUCAACCUACGAGUGAGCCAAAAGUACAGGUCUAGGAUGAUUCUGCAUAAGAGAUUUCAAGGCAUAAGCUAUUGACAGUGAGCAUUGGAGUUGUUGAUUAAUUUCCUUAACCAUCA